GACGAACGCUGGCGGCGUGCUUAACACAUGCAAGUCACGGGGGCCCGCAAGGGCAACCGGCGAACGGGUGCGUAACACGUGAACAACCUGCCCUCGUGUGGGGGAUAGCCAUGCUAACGCGUGGGUAAUACCGCAUACGGUCCUUUGGGGGAGUCCCUGGGGGAAGAAAGCUCCGGCGCACGGGGAGGGGUUCGCGGCCUAUCAGCUAGUUGGGGGGUAGU
rnacentral:rRNA from 1 species